GUAGUCAUAUGCUUGUCUCAAGCCAUGCAUGUCUAAGUAUAAGCACUUUAUACGGUGAAACUGCGAAUGGCUCAUUAAAUCAGUUAUCGUUUAUUUGAUAGUGCCUUACUACAUGGAUACCUGUGGUAAUUCUAGAGCUAAUACAUGCUGAAAACCCCGACUUCGGAAGGGGUGUAUUUAUUAGAUAAAAAACCAACGCCCUUCGGGGCUCCUUGGUGAUUCAUGAUAACUUAACGAAUCGCAUGGCCUUGCGCCGGCGAUGGUUCAUUCAAAUUUCUGCCCUAUCAACUUUCGAUGGUAGGAUAGUGGCCUACCAUGGUGGCAACGGGUAACGGGGAAU
rnacentral:rRNA from 1 species